rnacentral:misc_RNA from 1 species
AAGCAAUUUAAAUUAGGAUGCCUCGUCAAAUUGUAUUCCAUAAAAUUAAUUUCUUUUAUUUCCUAGUUUACCAUCGUAUAUAUACUUUAAGACGAUAAAUAAGCCAAAAUAUGACAGAACAUAAAACUUUUAUGUCAUUAUCUCUCAUGCGAUAUGCAUGUAAUCUGAAAGAGACUCUUUAAUGUCCUACAUAAGCAGCUCAUCCAUGGACUAAAGGAAGUUCCUUUGAAAGUUUCCUGAUGAGAACCUGGAAGACAAGCCCUGAGCCAUGUUGUCUGAAUCAAAUUUUAUACUCUGCCUUCCAGCUACGAGAUCCUUCUCACGAUCCCAAGGCUUCCACGGGUGUUGCCCCGCCCACUCUUCCUUCUCUGGUUGCUGCUUGGAUUUUUUCUUCGAACGACUUGCAGCCUCUUCUUGGUGCUUUUGUACCAAAGAUUUUGAUCGUUUUGCUUUAUUGUAUUUGUCCACCAAAUCUGCAUCUGCACUUGUCCUUUUCUUUUCUUCUUCAUUUGAAGCAAGUGCAGCAGCCUCAUUAUAUGCUUCCAAGUAAUUCAUCUUGGCCUUUUGGGCUCUGUCUGAAGGGGUAUCUGUCCAAACGCUAGUGUCACCACGUCCUUCUCUAGAACUCUUGCCGAAUCUUGAAGAUUGCAUGGUCAUGCCUGGUUUCCUUUCAGGAGGCAAUGUUGUCAUCCAUUCAUCUCUUUUUGGGGCUAUAACUUCAAUUUCUGCAAGGAGCUCAUCAUCAACCUCCCCGCCAGACCAAAAGUUUUUUUUUUAAUGUUUAGAUGGGAAGUGCUUUAACAUAUUAUGAAGGAUUGACACUAAUCAAACACACAUAUAUAUGUUAGUCUCAGGCCUGCACUGGGGAAGAGGCAGGGUUCUGAAAAUCAUUUUGAAAUAAAAAGUAUCUGCAGACGCUACUACUCAAGGACCUGAAGCUGGCUAUACAAAUGCAUUUUGUUGACGGUUUGCAAUGUCUAUAUAAAUUGGCUAUUCAUAUAUGCCUAAUGCGUAUCUGAAAUAGCUUUUCAUAAUGUCUGACCAAUAAGAACUAUUAGUAUUAAAAUUAUCAUGCUGCAACAUUGAAUCAAAGAAAACGUCCAAAAUAGCACAGCUCCUGUUUGACAUGACGUAGGCACAUGACCAAGACAUAGAAAUUUCAUUUCAGUUUUCAACAAAGAAUGUAUUGCAUCAUCGAGUUAAUCAUGUGUACAUCAUGGACCAUCUUAAGAGUUUAAUGACUGCCUUCUCCACAACACAGCUAGCAAUAUUGGACCAAGACAAGAUUAGGAUGUGCUGGCCCUCCAAAACAAACAUGGGCUCAAAAAUAUUGUUGAUUAGUAAUGUAUACUUUGCAUAAUUUUCUCAGUAAGAAUUCAAUCUCAACUAUUUAUGUGCACUAAUAUUUACUCAAAAUGACAAUUAUAUAUAUUGUUAUCUAUGGCCUAUUGCUAUGGUCCAGUUCAGCAAAUAAAUUGGAUUAUAAUAUUUUUCUUGGAAAGAAAAAAGUGAACCCAGUUCAACUACAACAUCAAAUCUAACCUACCUCCCCAGCCCUUGCACAAGGAGAGGGGCAGGACAUUUUAAAAUAGAAAACUAACUACAUAAGUACCUUGUGUCUUCUCCAAUGUGCAGUGUCACGCAUAGCUUUCAACUCAACCUUAAAUUGUUCCUGUUCCUUUUUGAGUUUAAUUUUUGCAUCCUGCAAUUUUCACUGCAAACAGACAAGAAUGUGAAGAAAUAGCAAAAUCAAAUGCCAAGAACAUACAAGACAGUGUAGGAUCCAUAAAAGCGACUACAUGCAAAUGAUAAGUACCAACUAGAUCAUGGUUUUAAAACGGCUAUUAUUUACAGGAAAAGUGGCCUACAACUACUGUUAAGGCCUUUAAAUAAUGAAAUUUUAGA